UUUAGCUUCCCCUCACCCCCUGGAAUUUACGCCACAAUUGGAGCUAGACAGUUUACAUUAGUCUUCUGCUGUGUGUAAGGGUUUUUCCUCCUCCAGUUUCUGUUACGGGAAGCAAGCAGUUCCCUCGUGUACCUCACCUGCCCUGUGCCCCCUGUGGUGCAAUAUUCCAUGCUAGGUCGUCAUCACUGUCGUAUCUGCGGGGGUUGUCAAAGAAGUAAGAUCUGGGACUGAAGCCAUGGCUUGGGACCAUUCCUGCAUUGGCCUGGGGGAAGGGAAACCUCAGUCAGUAUUUGCAACAGAGAGAUCAACUGCUUGGGGCCUGGCUUCUAAAAGAUGUCACUGCAGACUUACCUCCUGGUUUCCAAAAUAGAACCUAUUCCUGAAACCACCCUCUGCUCUGCAUUUCACUUGGCUGCUGAAUUCCUAUCCAUCCUGGACACUUUGCACUUUCAGCCUGGAGUGAGCAGUAGGGAAGCAGCUGAGGAGCUGCGAGAUAGGAAAUGCCUAAAGAGACUGGGGUUUACCCCCCACAUUUGUAACCCUCUAUCCUGGUGCAUUACAUCCCCUGCCUCAGGAACUGCUCAUGCUGAACCUUGGCACCUGCCUCAUGAAGCCACAGCUGGAAAGCCCCUUAGGAUCUCUCUGAGCAAUUUCAAUAUCUACUCUACAGUGCUCUGGGAGUCAAAUCCCAAGGAAAGGCCCUUUGAUAAAACAGGGAAUGGGAUAUACAUGUAAUGCCUUCAUUUACAAAGCGUUUUGCUUUUAUUUCCCUAUGAAUCAAAACCGAAAACAAAAAAAAACAACAACAAA